rnacentral:rRNA from 1 species
CAGUAGCCACGGUAAUACGAAGGGUGCAAGCGUUAAUCGGAAUUACUGGGCGUAAAGCGUGCGUAGGCGGUGAGUUAAGUCUGCUGUGAAAUCCCCGGGCUCAACCUGGGAAUGGCAGUGGAUACUGGCUCGCUAGAGUGUGUCAGAGGAUGGUGGAAUUCCCGGUGUAGCGGUGAAAUGCGUAGAGAUCGGGAGGAACAUCAGUGGCGAAGGCGGCCAUCUGGGACAACACUGACGCUGAGGCACGAAAGCGUGGGGAGCAAACAGGAUUAGAUACCCGCGUAGUCCCUGUCUCUUAUAA